UUUGAAUGAAAGGCGGCUAAUGACCCAAGCGUCCUGCCUGAACGCAGCCUUCCUCACAUCCUGUGAA
rnacentral:sRNA from 1 species